rnacentral:sRNA from 1 species
ACCACAGCUUCCUGCCGCAGGCGGGCGGGAGGGCAGGCACGGAGAGGCGGGCGCCGAGGAGGGGCAGGUAGGGCUGGGACGCAGGGGUAACUGGAUCCCCCGACUUCAGCCCAGGCCCUGGUCUGACCACCCUGGGAGCAGGGACUUUCCACAGUCAGCUGGACGCACACUCAGCCCAGUAAAAGAGGGGACCCAUCCCGGGAGCCCCGGGGAGGGCACAGCUGCCUCCUCCCGGGCUCCCCUGCCACCUGGUGCCUACCUGCCCCCUGCUCCCUGCCGGGUCCGGUCCUCACCUCAUCUUCAUCUGGCCUUGACUCUGCCCUUGAGGGGCCUAGGGGUGCAGCCGGCCUGCUCCGAGCUCCCCUGCAGAUGGAGGAGGCCAUCCUGGUCCCCUGCAUGCUGGGGCUCCUGCUGCUGCCCAUCCUGGCCAUGUUGAUGGCACUGUGUGUGCACUGCCACAGACUGCCAGGCUCCUACGACAGCACAUCCUCAGAUAGUUUGUAUCCAAGGGGCAUCCAGUUCAAACGGCCUCGUGAGUACAAGGAGGGUCCCCUACCUUGGGUGCCAGGGAGAGGGUCCCCUGGUGUGGGAGUGAGCGUGAACCUUCAGACUUCCCCUGCCACCUUGGGGCUGCCCACAUGGCCUUGACCUGAGCUGGGAGAGGGGAGAUGGCUCCCCCAGGCCUGUCCAGGGUGUGGGGCUUUCAGGGGCUUAGUCUGUUCUUUGAGGCCUUGACGAUGUCCGGAGUCCUUCUUUCAACUUGGUUCUGUGUCCUCAGACACGGUUGCCCCCUGGCCACCUGCCUACCCGCCUGUCACCUCCUACCCACCCCUGAGCCAGCCAGACCUGCUCCCCAUCCCGUGAGUAGCUGCUCAGCCCCUGCCCCUCCAAAGCUCAGCCCCUGCCCCUCCAAACUCCACUCUCUACCCCUUCACUUUUUUGGAUU